rnacentral:sRNA from 1 species
ACUGGGUUGCUGAUCCAGCUAUGGAGAAAGCCGCAGUUUAUGCCAAUGGAAGAGGCACAUCUGGGGAGAAGAAUGUGACUCUCCUCCUCUCACCCACUUCUUUGCCCAGUAGAUCUGCAGGACACAGCCUCGUUAACUCUGAAGUUUAAGUUUAACCCAAAGCUGGGCAUUGAUAAUCCUGUCCUCUCCCUGGCCGAAGACCACAACCCCUAUGAUCCCUGGAGCCUGGAGCGGCCUCGCUUCUGUUUACUGAGCAAAGAGGAGGGCAAGAGUUUUGGCUUCCACCUGCAGCAGGAGCUGGGCAGGGCUGGGCAUGUGGUGUGCAGGGUGGACCCAGGCACCUCUGCCCAGCGCCAGGGUCUUCAGGAAGGAGACAGGAUCCUGGCGGUGAACAACGAUGUUGUGGAACACGAAGACUAUGCGGUGGUGGUACGCCGCAUCCGGGCCAGCAGCCCUCGUGUGUUGCUGACAGUAUUGGCACGGCAUGCACAUGAUGUGGCCCGAGCUCAGCUGGGAGAAGAUGCCCACCUCUGUCCCACCCUAGGCCCAGGGGUCCGGCCCCGGCUGUGCCACAUAGUGAAAGAUGAGGGUGGUUUUGGCUUCAGUGUCACCCAUGGCAAUCAGGGUCUUUUCUGGUUGGUGCUAAGUACCGGAGGAGCAGCUGAGCGGGCAGGGGUGCCCCCCGGGGCCCGGCUGCUGGAAGUGAAUGGGGUCAGUGUGGAGAAGUUCACUCACAACCAACUCACCAGGAAGCUUUGGCAGAGUGGACAGCAGGUGACCUUGCUGGUGGCAGGGCCAGAGGUGGAGGAACAGUGUCGCCAGCUGGGAUUGCCCCUGGCUGCACCCCUGGCAGAGGGCUGGGCACUGCCCACCAAGCCCCGCUGUCUGCACCUAGAGAAAGGGCCCCAGGGUUUUGGGUUCCUGCUCCGGGAGGAAAAGGGCCUUGACGGUCGCCCUGGUGAGUGGGAGCCCUGGGGGUGGUGGGGGAAGGUGGGCCUUGAGGUGGGUACACAAGUGUAUAUACACCUUUCAGUGCACCGAAGAGGUGUCCCUGUCUGAGCUCUGGCCCUGGGCCACCUCUUCCUGUUCACUCUGGGGUCAGUCCCCUGGUGUGCACACAGUGGCCUAGGAUAGUUGGAGAGGAGCAGUGAGGAUGUCUAUGCCCCAGGACAGUUCCUGUGGGAGGUGGACCCGGGACUGCCAGCCAAGAAGGCUGGGAUGCAGGCUGGGGACCGGCUGGUGGCUGUGGCUGGGGAGAGCGUGGAGGGGCUGGGCCACGAGGAGACAGUGUCCAGGAUCCAGGCGCAGGGCUCCUGUGUCUCCCUCACUGUCGUCGACCCUGAGGCUGACCGCUUCUUUAGCAUGGUUCGCCUAUCCCCACUCCUCUUCUCGGAGAACACAGAGGCUCCCGCCUCGCCCCAGGGCAGCAGCUCAACCUCACUGGUUGAGACAGAGAACCCUUCACUUGAAGACACAAGCGUGCCUUCUGUCCCUCUUGGCUCCCGACAGUGCUUCCUGUACCCUGGGCCUGGUGGCAGCUAUGGCUUCCGACUCAGUUGUGUGGCCAGUGGGCCUCGUCUCUUUAUCUCCCAGGUGACUCCAGGAGGCUCAGCUGCCCGGGCUGGGUUGCAAGUGGGAGAUGUGAUUCUGGAAGUGAACGGGUAUCCUGUUGGGGGACAGAAUGACCUGGACAGGCUUCAGCAGCUGCCUGAGGCUGAGCCACCCCUCUGCCUGAAGCUGGCAGUCAGGUCUCUGUGGGGCUUGGAAGCCUGGAUUCCCCCUGGGGCUGCAGAGGACUGGGCUCUGGCCUCGGAUCAGCUGUAGAGCACCCCUGCUUGGUACAGACAUACUCAGGGGCUACCGUGUCUUCACUCUCCAGCCCGAGGUGGUGAAGGCAGGAUGCUCUCUCUAAGCCAGACCAGAGGGACUCAGACACCACCGAUCACAGGCUGGCCCAGGUGCUCCCUCCCUUCCCGCAGGCCCAACUCCCAGCAGAGGGUGUGGUUGGAGUCCCUGAAGGAGUCUGAGGCUCCAGAGGAUGUCAUAUGGGAGCUUUGGAGAACUGUGUCCCAAGGAUGAAGGUGUGGCUGUGGGUCUGGCUAGGAUUGAAGCCAUCUGGACCUUUUCUAGAUAUGACUCCAGGACCCUUGAGUGUAAUGCAAAAAUUUGGAGCCCAGCUAUGCCUGCCCUCUGUGGGUGCCUUAGCAUUGCGGGAGGGUGGUGCUUGGUCACCGUUGCAUUUGUUAUAGAAAUGGCCGUUCCCCAUAAAUCUGACUGCCUGUGUUUGUGUUGGUGGGGGUAAGGGGCAGUGGCGUGAAGGGACAAAAAGGGCCUCAGGCUCAAGGGGUGGGAUGCGGCUCCUGCAGGAGAGAGGUUGAGACCUGGUCAAAUUUCUUUCCUAUCACUGAAUCUCAGGGAUAAUGGGCCAACCCAGAACUGAGAUGUCUGCAUGAGAGCCACUCCUAAAAAUAAACAACAACAACAACAAAAAAAAAAAAAAAAAGAAGAAAACUAAA